AUUGAACGCUGGCGGCAGGCCUAACACAUGCACGUCGAGCGAGUGACGGACGGGUGAGUAAUGUCUGGGACCCUGCCUGAUGGAGGGGGCUAACUCAGGGAAACGCUAGUUACUACCGCAUACAAUUCAAUGUGCCCAGUUGGGAUUAGCUAGUAGGUGGGGUAACGGCUCACCUAGGCGACGAUCCCUAGCUGGUUGGAGAGGAUGACCAGCCACACGUGAACUGAGACACGGUCCAGACUCCUACGGGAGGCAGCAGUGGGGAAUAUUGGACAAUGGGCGAAAGCCUGAUGCAGCCAUGCCGCGUGUGUGAAGAAGGCCUUCGGGUUGUAAAGCACUUUCAGCGGGGAGGCGUUACCCGCAGAAGAAGCACCGGCUAACUCCGUGCCAGCCGCCGCGGUAAUUC
rnacentral:rRNA from 1 species